rnacentral:rRNA from 1 species
UUAUCGGAGAGUUUGAUCCUGGCUCAGGACGAACGCUGGCGGCGUGCCUAAUACAUGCAAGUCGAGCGGACAGAUGGGAGCUUGCUCCCUGAUGUUAGCGGCGGACGGGUGAGUAACACGUGGGUAACCUGCCUGUAAGACUGGGAUAACUCCGGGAAACCGGGGCUAAUACCGGAUGGUUGUUUGAACCGCAUGGUUCAAACAUAAAAGGUGGCUUCGGCUACCACUUACAGAUGGACCCGCGGCGCAUUAGCUAGUUGGUGAGGUAACGGCUCACCAAGGCGACGAUGCGUAGCCGACCUGAGAGGGUGAUCGGCCACACUGGGACUGAGACACGGCCCAGACUCCUACGGGAGGCAGCAGUAGGGAAUCUUCCGCAAUGGACGAAAGUCUGACGGAGCAACGCCGCGUGAGUGAUGAAGGUUUUCGGAUCGUAAAGCUCUGUUGUUAGGGAAGAACAAGUACCGUUCGAAUAGGGCGGUACCUUGACGGUACCUAACCAGAAAGCCACGGCUAACUACGUGCCAGCAGCCGCGGUAAUACGUAGGUGGCAAGCGUUGUCCGGAAUUAUUGGGCGUAAAGGGCUCGCAGGCGGUUUCUUAAGUCUGAUGUGAAAGCCCCCGGCUCAACCGGGGAGGGUCAUUGGAAACUGGGGAACUUGAGUGCAGAAGAGGAGAGUGGAAUUCCACGUGUAGCGGUGAAAUGCGUAGAGAUGUGGAGGAACAUCAGUGGCGAAGGCGACUCUCUGGUCUGUAACUGACGCUGAGGAGCGAAAGCGUGGGGAGCGAACAGGAUUAGAUACCCUGGUAGUCCACGCCGUAAACGAUGAGUGCUAAGUGUUAGGGGGUUUCCGCCCCUUAGUGCUGCAGCUAACGCAUUAAGCACUCCGCCUGGGGAGUACGGUCGCAAGACUGAAACUCAAAGGAAUUGACGGGGGCCCGCACAAGCGGUGGAGCAUGUGGUUUAAUUCGAAGCAACGCGAAGAACCUUACCAGGUCUUGACAUCCUCUGACAAUCCUAGAGAUAGGACGUCCCCUUCGGGGGCAGAGUGACAGGUGGUGCAUGGUUGUCGUCAGCUCGUGUCGUGAGAUGUUGGGUUAAGUCCCGCAACGAGCGCAACCCUUGAUCUUAGUUGCCAGCAUUCAGUUGGGCACUCUAAGGUGACUGCCGGUGACAAACCGGAGGAAGGUGGGG